GCGGAGCCUCCUCAGGAGUUGGCAGUUGAGAGUCGAUGGACUCGACCUCCCCAGUUCUGAGAUCCACGGUUUGGAAGCAAUGUUUGGAAACAAUCGCUCAGGAUUCGGAGCCAGCGGCUUUGAUCUGCUCUUCCGCACCCGGGCCGGAACCAAUUUAGCACUUACCACCUGAAAUACACUGGAAGCGUGUUUAUUGUCUGUCUCCAGCCCUGGACCAAGUUCCAAAUUCAACGAACCCUGCACUGUUGCCCAUCAGAGUCCCACCAAACAGCUGUACAGAGCCGUCUUCAGUAAAGUAACUACCAGCAUUCAAAGCAUAAUACUCCCAACCAGGCUUCAUACAGUUGAUGCCAAGGUAGCAACAAACAUUUCAAAUCCAAAUUAUUUAUAAAUUUAGUCCCAGUGAGAGAAAAUAUAAUCAACAAAGAAGGCAGCAGCAAAUAGACCCUCCAAGAAAACCCUUUAUAUCUAGAAUGUUUUUCUUGGUUCUGAUAAGAAAAAAAAAAGAGAGAGAGAUUUGCCUUUGUGCUAUCUUUGCCACACAAAUAUAAUGGUUACUAUUAUGAAGUAGGCUCUAUGCCAAGGGAUGUGUUGCCUUCUAGCUUAUAGUCCUCAUCUCUGUAAAACUGUAGUGAUACAGUAGGAGGAUUUCUGCUGAGCCCUGGAACUUCCUGUAAACAAUUGGACCUGAUAUGUUGUCCAUGGUCAAGGCUAGAUUGUGGCUAUGCAACACAGUGUUCUUUCUUCCCCAUGA